GAUGAAGAACGUAGCGAAAUGCGAUAAGUAAUGCGAAUUGCAGAAUUUCCGUGAGUCAUCGAAUCUUUGAACGCACAUUGCGCCCACUGGUAUUCCGGUGGGCCUGCCUGUUCGAGCGUCAUUAUCCUCCCUCAAACCCCGGGUUUGGUGUUGGACCCAAGUUGUGUGAACAACUGGUCUUAAAGACAAUGACGGCGUCCGUGGGACCCUCGGUGCAACGAGCUUUUAGGAGCACGCAUCGAGUUGCAAGGACCUUCCGGGCCGGUCUCCUUUACUAUUUUACAAGGUUGACCUCGGAUCAGGUAGGAAUACCCGCUGAACUUAAGCAUAUCAAUAAGCGGAGGA
rnacentral:misc_RNA from 1 species